rnacentral:rRNA from 1 species
AGCAGCCGCGGUAAUUCCAGCUCCAAUAGCGUAUAUUAAAGUUGUUGCAGUUAAAAAGCUCGUAGUUGAAUUUCGGAGUUUGUCGGUUGGUCGGGCUUCACUGUCCGCACUGACCUGAUGGACUCCUACCUUCUGAAUAACCAGCAUGCUAUUAAGUUAGUGCGUUGGGGAAGCAGAGCUAUUACCUUGAAAAAAUUAGAGUGCUUAAAGCAGGCUUACGCUUGAAUAGAUUAGCAUGGAAUAAUAAAAUAGGACGGCAUGGUUCUAUUUUGUUGGUUUCUAGGAUCACCGUAAUGAUUAAUAGGGAUAGUUGGGGGCAUUAGUAUUCAAUUGUCAGAGGUGAAAUUCUUGGAUUUAUUGAAGACUAACUUCUGCGAGAGCAUUUG